AGAGUGAACGCUGGCGGCGUGCUUAACACAUGCAAGUCGAGCGGAAAGGCCCUUCGGGGUACUCGAGCGGCGAACGGGUGAGUAACACGUGAGUAACCUGCCCCUAGCUCUGGGAUAGCUCCGGGAAACCGGGAUUAAUACCAGAUACGACCACUUUAGACAUCUGUCGUGGUGGAAAGGAUUCCGGCUAGGGAUGGGCUUGCGGCCUAUCAGCUUGUUGGUGGGGUAACGGCCUACCAAGGCGACGACGGGUAGCCGGCCUGAGAGGGCGACCGGCCACACUGGGACUGAGACACGGCCCAGACUCCUACGGGAGGCAGCAGUGGGGAAUAUUGCGCAAUGGGCGAAAGCCUGACGCAGCGACGCCGCGUGGGGGAUGAAGGCCUUCGGGUUGUAAACCCUUUCAGCAGGGACGAAGCGAAAGUGACGGUACCUGCAGAAGAAGCGCCGGCUAACUACACGCCAGCAGCCGC
rnacentral:rRNA from 1 species